rnacentral:rRNA from 1 species
ACGCUCGACACCUACGGGGGCAGCAGUAGGGAAUCUUCCACAAUGGGCGCAAGCCUGAUGGAGCAACACCGCGUGAGUGAAGAAGGGUUUCGGCUCGUAAAGCUCUGUUGUUGGAGAAGAACGUGCGUGAGAGUAACUGUUCACGCAGUGACGGUAUCCAACCAGAAAGUCACGGCUAACUACGUGCCAGCACGCCGGACGGUAAUCGUGAGGCCGGGCGUGGACGAAGGC